rnacentral:rRNA from 1 species
AUGAUUGCAGAAUUUGACAUGGUAAUGCAGGAUCAUCUUAGAAGUAUUGAGAAUAAAGAAAUCCAUUAUCAUUAUCUCAGUCACAAAAUAUGGAAUGAGUUGAUAUCUCUAUUGGCUUCUGACAUCAUAUGUUCUAUUAUAAAGGUUGUUAAAGAGGCUAAGUAUUUCUCUGUUAUCCUAGAUUGUACCCCUGAUGUUAGUCAUCAAGAACAAAUGACUUUUCUAGUCCGAUGUGUUAAUCUGUCUGAUGGCAAAAUAAAAAUUGAGGAGUACUUUUUGGGGUUCUUGAAAGUGGAUGACACUUCUGGCUUAGGGAUUUUUAAAGCAUUGCUUCAAUCUAUUGAGUCUUUUGGCCUAAAUAUUAAUGAUAUAAGGGGUCAAGGAUAUGACAAUGGUUCUAAUAUGAAAGGAAAAUACCGAGGGGUACAAUCUAGGUUACUUGAUAUGAAUCCAAGUGCAUUAUAUAUGCCAUGUGCUUGUCAUAGUCUCAAUCUCACUCUUUGUGAUAUGGCAAAAUCAUGUGAGAAAGCUGUUUCAUUUUUUGGAAUUGUUCAACACAUAUAUGUAUUAUUUGCUGGCUCUACAAAAAGUUGA